UUCCUGGAAGGAGACCCAGUUGAAAGGGGUUGUUACUGACCAGGAACAGCUGGGAUCUUUUAAUGAUCUGUCAGCAGCUCCUAGCAAAGUUCCAGCACCCUGAGGUUUCAGUGUAAGAGUGCUAAGGGAUGCUUAUCAGCUGAAUUGCACUAUGUCCAUCUUGGAAUGGAUCCUGGUUCCUCUUCCUAGCAAAGCCUGAAUCGCAGUGGCUGGAGCAAUCCAAUACCUUCUGAAGAGUUUGGAAAACAACUCUGAUCACAGUAUAAAAGCAGAUUGCUGCAUUGGAUUACCAAAUAUUUUCUUGAUAGACUGAUGGGGCCAGUCAACAGGAUCAACUUGAAUUUCUUUCCUGCCAGAAAGGAAUGCCUAGAAGCAGAGCCCCCUUGUGUGUGUGGCAUCACCAGGGGCUUACUCCAGUUACCUCAGGCCUUAGGUUUGAGGUAGUCAGAGGAAAAGCAUAUUCCUCAGUC